rnacentral:rRNA from 1 species
AGCUCCAGUAGCGUAUAUUAAAGUUGUUGCAGUUAAAAAGCUCGUAGUUGGACUUCUGGUUUAAUGCACCUGGCCCGCGGCCGCAAGGCCUGUGAGUGCCGGCGCGCGUUUACCAUCCUUCUAGAAAACGGGUCUUCCCUUAACUGGGCCGGAUUCGGGAUCUAGAUCAUUUACUUUGAAAAAAUUAGAGUGUUUAAAGCAGGCUAUUGCUAUGAAUACAUUAGCAUGGAAUAAUAAUCUAGGACUUCGGUUCUAUUUUGUUGGUUUCUAUGACUGAAGUAAUGAUUGAUAGGGAUAGUUGGGGGUGCUAGUAUUGGCCGGUCAGAGGUGAAAUUCUUGGAUUCGGUCAAGACUAACUUAUGCGAAAGCAUUCACCAAGGAUGUCUUCU